UGCCAGCCGCCGCGGUAAUACGGAGGGUCCAAGCGUUAUCCGGAUUUAUUGGGUUUAAAGGGUGCGCAGGCGGAAUGUUAAGUCAGUGGUGAAAUCUCUCAGCUUAACUGAGAAACUGCCAUUGAUACUGACAUUCUUGAGUUUGGUUGAAGUAGGCGGAAUGAGGCAUGUAGCGGUGAAAUGCAUAGAUAUGCCUCAGAACACCAAUCGCGAAGGCAGCUUACUAAACCAAUACUGACGCUGAGGCACGAAAGCGUGGGGAGCAAACAGGAUUAGAUA
rnacentral:rRNA from 1 species